GAUGAACGCUGGCGGCGUGCCUAAUACAUGCAAGUCGAACGCUGGAAAUCUAGCUUGCUAGAUUGAAGGAGUGGCGAACGGGUGAGUAAUACAUAAGCAACCUACCCACGAAGACUGGGAUAAUCUCUGGAAACGGGGACUAAUACCGGAUAGGUAAUCGGAAGGCAUCUUCUGAUUAUUAAAGGUUAAAAACACUGGUGGAUGGGCUUAUGGCGCAUUAGUUAGUUGGUGAGGUAACGGCCCACCAAGACGAUGAUGCGUAGCCGGCCUGAGAGGGUGAACGGCCACAUUGGGACUGAGACACGGCCCAGACUCCUACGGGAGGCAGCAGUAGGGAAUUUUCGGCAAUGGGGGAAACCCUGACCGAGCAACGCCGCGUGAGUGAUGACGGCCUUCGGGUUGUAAAGCUCUGUUGUAAGGGAAGAAAGGUAGAUAGAGAAUAUCUAAAUGACGGUACCUUACCAGAAAGCCACGGCUAACUACGUG
rnacentral:rRNA from 1 species